AGUUAAACUAUUGGAGUUUAGGGUUUACAGCGCUCUGCCUUCUCUCAGAACCAGAACCAUCCGCCCAGCUCUACUUCCGCUCGCCAGCGUGCAGCAUGCGGCGUCUCAUUUUAGUGGUGACGAAACUCCUGCGUUAGCAUAAGAUGUGUAGCUAAUUCAUUGCCUAGAAAUCCAGUUCAUUCUUUGUCCAUAUCAAGUCUUUGUUUCACUGUGUCUUGUGUUAGUGCUUGUUUGAUCUUGAUAAACCUGGUAAUGCAUUGUGAAAUGCAAUAGUAGCUUUUUUGAUUUUUCUUUGUUUUACUUAUUGUCGGCCAUUAUCGUGUAACCGAAUCUCCAUCUUCUUUCUGUCCAGACGUGCGUAAAUUUGAUGUUGUUUCAAUGUAACAGUCAAUUGUUAGCGACCAAUCGAACUGAUGAAUAGGAUCGACGUGCCACAUCUCAUUUACGGUCGAACUUUCCGGCAGUAAACCUGGAGUAUCAAGA